GNNCNCGNANCNGNNGNCGANAUUCCUACGGGAGGCAGCAGUGGGGAAUCUUGGACAAUGGGCGCAAGCCUGAUCCAGCCAUGCCGCGUGAGUGAUGAAGGCCCUAGGGUCGUAAAGCUCUUUCGCCAGGGAUGAUAAUGACAGUACCUGGUAAAGAAACCCCGGCUAACUCCGUGCCAGCAGCCGCGGUAAUACGGAGGGGGUUAGCGUUGUUCGGAAUUACUGGGCGUAAAGCGCGCGUAGGCGGAUUGGAAAGUUGGGGGUGAAAUCCCGGGGCUCAACCCCGGAACUGCCUCCAAAACUCCCAGUCUUGAGUUCGAGAGAGGUGAGUGGAACUCCGAGUGUAGAGGUGAAAUUCGUAGAUAUUCGGAAGAACACCAGUGGCGAAGGCGGCUCACUGGCUCGAUACUGACGCUGAGGUGCGAAAGUGUGGGGAGCAAACAGGAUUAGAUACCCUGGUAGUCCACACCGUAAACGAUGAAUGCCAGUCGUCGGGUAGCAUGCUAUUCGGUGACACACCUAACGGAUUAAGCAUUCCGCCUGGGGAGUACGGUCGCAAGAUUAAAACUCAAAUGAAUUGACGG
rnacentral:rRNA from 1 species